AAAACUUCUCGGCCUUUUGGCUAGGAUCAAGUGUAGUAUCUGCUCUUAUCAGUUUAACUUCUGCUCCUUUCAUCUAACGCCUCAAUAUCUGAAACCUGUAGGGCAGCUACCUAAU